rnacentral:lncRNA from 1 species
CACUCAUCUCCGUCCCGUGUUCAUCUCCUGUUAAUCCCAUGUUAAUCCCAUGUUGAUGCCAUGUUGAUGCCACGUUCGAUGCACUGCUGUACUUAUCUCCGUCCCGUGUUAAUCCCGUGUUCAUCCCAUGUUCAAAUCACUGCUGUGCUCAUCUCAAUCCCAUGUUCAUCCCAUGUUCAUCCCAUGUUCGUCCCAUGUUGGUCCCAUGUUUGAUGCACUGCUGUACUCAUCUCAAUCCCAUGUUCAUCCCGUGUUAAUCCCAUGAUAAUCCCAUGUUCAUCCCAUGAUCAUCCCAUGUUUAAUCAUUGCUGUGCUCAUCUCAAUCCUAUGUUCAUCCCAUGCUCAUCCCAUGUUCAUCCCAUGUUUGAUGCACUGCUGCACUCAUCUCCGUCCCAUGUUCAUCCCAUGUUCAUCCCAUGUUCAUCCCAUGUUUAAUCAUUGCUGUACUCAUCUCAAUCCCAUGCCAAUCCCAUGAUAAUCCCAUGCUAAUCCCGUGUUCAUCCCAUGUUUGAUGCACUGCUGCACUCAUCUCCGUCCCGUGUUAAUCCCAUCUCAAUCCCAUGUUCAACCCAUGUUCAUCCCAUGCUAAUCGCAUGUUCAUCUCAUGUUCAUCCCAUGUUUAAUCAUUGCUGUACUCAUCUCAAUCCCAUGUUCAUCCCAUCCCCAUCCCAUGUUAAUCCCAUGUUAAUCCCAUGUUAAUCCCAUGUUGGUUCACCCCUGUGCCUGCCUCCACCCCGUGUCAUCCCGUGUUCACCCCAUCUUCAUCCCAUCUCGAUCCCAUGUUCAUCCCAUGUCAAUCCCAUGUUCA